rnacentral:rRNA from 1 species
CCUACGGGAUGCAGCAGUAAGGAAUUUUCGUCAAUGGGCGCGAGCCUGAACCAGCAAAGUAGCGUGAAGGAUGAAUUCCCUACGGGCUGUAAACUUCUUUUAUAAAGGAAUAAAGUGAGGCACGUGUACCUUUUUGUAUGUACUUUAUGAUUAAGGAUCUGCUAACGCCGUGCCAUCAGCCGCGCUAAUACGGAGGGUCCGAGCGUUAUUCGGAUUUCGUGGGUGUAAAGGGAGCGUAGGUGGGUUGUUAAGUCAGGUGUGAAAGUUUGCGGCUCAACCGUAAAAGUGCAAUUGAUACUGGCAGCCGUGAGUACAGUUGAGGUAGGCGGAAGGCGUGGUGUAGCGGUGAAAUGCUUAGAUAUCACGAAGAACGCCGAUGGCGAAGGCAGCCUACUAAACUGCCACUGACAUUGAGGCUCGAAAGUGUGGGUAUCAAACAGGAUUAGAUACCCCCGUAGUC